GUCAAAAUCUCAUCACUGCACCCAAGAUCUACACUUGCCAACAACAUCUUGGACAAUGGUGGAUCCAGAGGAAAUUCAGCCAUUUUCCUUCCCAAUUUGGUCAGAAGGCCCUCUUCAUCCAGAGCUCCUAGACUGUAUAACUGUUCCAUGGCAGAUAUGAGGGCCUGUGGUGAAGGUGGAUCCAUAAAAUCAAAAGACAAGAGAUCAUUAAUUCCCAUUGCCUUCAUUGUGAGUGUAGUAAAUCCAAGAUUUAUUCUUUGAAUUUCUGGAAUUGUGGUUGGGGACAUCUCAUUACGGUAUGCACUUUCAGUGUACAGACGAUAACACUUUCCAGGCCCAGUACGCCCAGCUCUUCCAGCCCGCUGCUUGGCAGAUGCUUGUGAAAUUGGCGUUAUAACCAGAGAAUCAAGCCCCUGCUUUGGAUUAUAUACAUUCUGCUUUGCAAACCCAGGAUCAAUAACAUAAAAAAUCCCAUCAAUUGUCANNNNNNNNNNNAAUAUUGGUUGCCACAACAACCUUCCUCUUCCCUGGUGGGGCAGGUUCAAAAAUCCUGGACUGCA
rnacentral:misc_RNA from 1 species